UUCGCGGCACGCAUACUAUUUUUCUCCGCCAAUCUUAUACCGUUGGUAGGGAUCUCUUUCCUACAUGACAGUACUAAUACCCAGGGAAACUGGUCAUCAGGCGAACUGCGGCGUUCUGCUGGCAAAACAUAGCUUCGGUUAUGUCAAUGGCUAUUGGAUUGGUCCAUGAAGCGAAAAAUAGUUUACUGUGUCACUCGUACCGAUAACCGCAUCAGGUCUUCUAGGUAAGUAGCCUAUGGCCAUUGAGGCAUGAUAGUUCAGGGAAUUCGGCCAAUUAGAGCUGUAACUUCGGGAUAAAGCUUGGCUCUGAUGAAAAUCAGAACCGAUUGUUACGCGGAGAGCCCAACUGUUUAAUAAAAACGUAGUGUCGCGCUGUGGUAGUAUAGCCAGUGAACGCGACAUGAAUCCUGCUCAGUGCUGUGUCUGUUAAUAUGGUUCAAGCCAACGAAGCACCGGUAAAUAGCUGGGGUAACUAUGACUCUUAUCAAAGUAGCGAAAUACCUCGUCACUUAAUUAGUGACCUGCAUGAACGGAGCUAUGAGGUUCUCACUGUCCCAAACUGUCUCUCAGCGAACCAACUGUAGUGGGAACGGUCACUAGAUAUCCAGCGGGGAAAGAAGACCCUGUAGAGCUUCACUUUGGUCUAGUCUUGUAUAGUUCCUGCGGGGGUGUAGACUAGGUGGGAGAGCAAUCGAUUCUGAAAAACCACUACCCUGUUUGGAAUUAUGCUUACCUAUCACAAGGAAUAGGACUAGAUAGAAAGUUUGGCUGGGGCGGCACACCUUCGAAAGAGCAGCGAAGGUGUCCUAAGUUGAGCUCAGUGAGGACAGAAAUCUCACGUUGAGGAUAAGGCCAAAAGCUCAAUUUACUGUGCCUUUUUGUACUAGGAUCAGUUACGAAAGUAAGGCCUAACGAUCCCUAAAUAGCCUCAGGUGCGUGAGGAUUGGGGUGACAGACAAGUUACCUCCGGGACAACUGGCUUGUGGCUGCUAAGAGAUCAAAUCAACGCAGCUUUUUGAUUCUUCGAUGUCGGCUCUUCCUAUCCUAGUGAUGUACAGUUGCUAAG
rnacentral:ncRNA from 1 species